CCGGCGCUGGGCGAGGCCUGUCCCUGGCGUGAGGCAGCGGGGGCGGCUGAGGGGGCUCCGAUCUUUCCCGAACGUUUCCGAACUUCCCCGAUCUUCUCCGUCCUUCUCUUGUGCUUGCGGCGAUGGGAGGUGGCAGCGGUGACGGAGACAGAAGGGUAUUAAUGCCAUUAAUUAACAUGCAGACGCACGGUGUUUAAUUUCAAGUUGUGAGAGGAAUGUUUCUCUGCAGGUUCUUUCCCCAAGGGGGGAAGACACUUUUCACCACAGCUGCCAAGAGCCCCCUGGUUUCUUCUGUGCCCCCAAGCUGCAGAGCUGUUUAUAUCACCGUUCAUGCGCUCAAAAAAUGUGUUUUAUUCAGCAGGGUGUGCCAUUUGAUGCAAAAAUUACUGUCUAACUCUUCACUCUGAGCAGAGAAACUCCAUCAGCAUCACCGGCGCUGCAGCGGGAGGGUUGCGCAGGUACCAGCAGAGAGGAGCGUAAGCAAUAUUGAUAACGCCGAUGAUGAUCAUCAGCCAGGGGAACCCAACAGCUCGUACGAUCGCGCCGCCUGUGGACGGACCUGGUGAUUUAAAGGUUAAAAAGAGCUGAGACGACAGAGCAAAUGUCCCGCUUUGGGGGGGUCUGUAAAUCCACGGUGGGUGAGUUGCAGACUCAGCGCUGGCUGCUUCCAGCAGAUAGUGGGUGGAGGAGAGGGAGUAGUAAACCGAGAUACACGCUGUGUACGUCACCCCGUGAGUAAGUUCCUCGUACCGAUGGCGAAGCCCAUGCAGAAGGCGACGUCAGCGAUGGCGUAGACGUUGCCGUAGAUGGAGGAGUGGCGCAGGUCCACCAGGUGACCCAUGGUGGGCAUCAUGGAGGAGUCCACCAUCCCUGCCCAAAGCCAGAGGGAUGCGCUGGCUCACCGCGGGGCUGCGUGGGAACCGUGUCGCACAGCCCAGACACCGACUCCUUACCUAUGGCAAAGCCCAGCCCGGCGUUGGGGAUGAUCAGCCCGUAAAUAUUUGUGGCCAGAGGAACCUUUGAGAGGAGAGAGAGGGGAUGUGAGUGAGGGCGGAAGAACUGCAUGAAGGUGGAACAUCAACCCAUGAAACCAACACGUGUCCAACCACUGACCAUUUGACCGCUGGGCACAAAACCCCGUCUCCGUCCUGACCUCUACAGAAAGGUCUCAAAAUUGUCUUGUGCUACUUACACACAGGAGACUGAUUCCCACCACGCCCAUGCCGAUGAGGGAGCACAACCACCUGCAAGGAGCCCACAGGUAGCAGAGGGUGGCUGUUCUCAGCCCCAGGUGUGAUUCAUGUGGAAAGCGCAGGGCUGGGGUGACCUGAAAUCUCUGCCUUCCACUUACCGGCCCAUUCUGGUGGCCAGAAGCCCGAAGAGGUUGGUGCCGAUGAGGUAGGAUAUGCUGGCCGGGAGGAAUGCCAUCCCUGAGGGAGAGAGAGCACAAAAAAGCCUGUCAUCCCUAGGAAAAUACAGGGGAUUUGCAAAAAUGUUCACUAACUGCCCCCAUUUGGGGAAUAUCAUGAGCCAGGCCUGUCCGUGCCCUGUAGAAGGGUGGGGGUCCCUCUCUGAAGACAUAGGGAGGCACAGAAAUUGCUUUUGGAGGGGGGAAACUGAGGCACAGAGAGGUGCAGUGAUUGACCCACAAGCCCUAGGAGACAACCAGAAGCUCAAUGCAGAACUUUUUUGUCCCCACUGCUUUAACAACCUCAUCCUGCUCUCCUGUUGUAGUUUCUUCUUCUUCCACCUUUCUCCCCUUGCCGUCUGCUUUUCACUUACUAAAUAGGAAUAAAAUAACUACUGAAGUAAAAAGCUUAGGGAUCAUUAUGUAGUCCAAAUUAAAUAUUUGCACUGUUUGCUGAUCA